CACGUAGGGGGCGAGCGUUGUCCGGAUUUAUUGGGCGUAAAGAGCUCGUAGGCGGCUUGGUAAGUCAGGUGUGAAACCUCCAGGCUCAACCUGGAGACGCCACUUGAUACUGCCAUGCUAGAGUCCGGUAGGGGAGCGUGGGAAUUUCUGGGUGUAGCGGUGAAAUGCGCAGAUAUCAGAAGGAACACCAGCGGCGAAGGCGGCGCUCUGGGCCGGAACUGACGCUGAGGAGCGAAAGCGUGGGUAGCAAACAGG
rnacentral:rRNA from 1 species